GUUGGAGAUUUGAGGAAAGUUGCUCCUAGUACGAGAGGACCGGAGUGAACGAACCUCUGGUGUUCCGGUUGUCACGCCAGUGGCAUUGCCGGGUAGCUACGUUCGGACGGGAUAACCGCUGAAAGCAUCUAAGCGGGAAGCCCCCUUCAAGAUGAGAUCUCACUGGGACCUUGAGUCCCCUAAAGGGCCGUUUAAGACUAAGACGUUGAUAGGCGGGGUGUGUAAGCGCUGCG
rnacentral:rRNA from 1 species